UACGUAGGGUGCAAGCGUUAAUCGGAAUUACUGGGCGUAAAGCGUGCGCAGGCGGUUUUUAUAAGUUUGUCGUGAAAGCCCCGGGCUCAACCUGAGAAUUGCGAUGAAGACUGUAAGGCUAGAGUGUGUCAGAGGGGGGGUAGAAUUCCACGUGUAGCAGUGAAAUGCGUAGAGAUGUGGAGGAACACCGAUGGCGAAGGCAGCCCCCUGGGCUAACACUGACGCUCAUGCACGAAAGCGUGGGGAGCAAACAGG
rnacentral:rRNA from 1 species